CCUGUUUCUACUUGCCCUGUAGAGCAGUUGCCUCCUGUUGGUCCACCCUACUGGAAGUCUGAGCUGGGCAGAGAAGCACCAAAAGUGGAGCUGGAGGAGCAAACAGAAUAUCCAGCACACUGCAGAAAGCUGAGAUUGGUAUUCUUCUACCGCAUGGCUACUCCUGCCACCAAGGGGAACACAGAGUAAAGUGACAACACUAAUUCAGGCUCCAUCAUGGUGACCAGGGAUUAGAAAAUAACCGCAAAGAGGCUCUGGAGAAUUUGGGAAGGUAAGAAAUGUAUUCUAAGAGGGGACUGAGGUGAUGGCUGCAAAAUUCUAUAUAUCUACUUAAAUGACUAAAUUCUACAUUUACAGUUAGUGACUUUUAUUACAAGUAAUUUUUUAAAUG
rnacentral:lncRNA from 1 species